AACGAACGCUGGCGGCAUGCCUAACACAUGCAAGUCGAACGAGACCUUCGGGUCUAGUGGCGCACGGGUGCGUAACGCGUGGGAACCGGCCCUUAGGUUCGGCAUAACUCCCCGAAAGGGGUGCUAAUACCGGAUAAUGUCUUCGGCCCAAAGAUUUAUCGCCCUUGGAGGGGCCCGCGUUGGAUUAGCUAGUUGGUAGGGUAAAAGCCUAACAAGGCGUCGAUCCAUAGCUGGUCUGAGAGGAUGAUCAGCCACACUGGGACUGAGACACGGCCCAGACUCCUACGGGAGGCAGCAGUGGGGAAUAUUGGACAGUGGGCGAAAGCCUGAUCCAGCAAUGCCGCGUGAGUGAUGAAGGCCUUAGGGUUGUAAAGCUCUUUUACCCGGGAUGAUAAUGACAGUACCGGGAGAAUAAGCCCCGGCUAACUCCGUG
rnacentral:rRNA from 1 species